CCAGGAGAGACAUCUUAUUUGGUUAAACUUACUCAACCUUAUUGUUAGCAUUUAUAUUAUUUUACUUUUCCAAGUCUUAAAGAUCGAAUAGCGGCUCUGAAGAGACUCUGACGACCCCCUUAAUUUCUACCUUUGCGCUAUAAUCAAGCCAGAAGCUCCGUCUUCCGGUCGCCAUCUUUGUUUUGUUUUGGAAACAGUCGCGAAUCGUAAACAGUAAUAAAAGUCUUCUUCGUAUGUGCAGCAGAAACAAUGUUUUUAUUUCAAGCCCGCUAGAAGAGUAUUUUGGGAAUGUCCUCAACAUACUGCGCCUGCAGGAUCGUCAGAGCCGUUCAGGAGCAUCUCCAAAAAGCCUGACGUGUUUCAAACAGUAACCGAAAGAGAAGUGAAAAAGGUGGCGACUCAUCUAAAGGACAUGGCACUUGGACAUGGAUCUGAUGGCCAGACCAGCAAGACAAAACUACCGGUACACUCAGGCGCUCCUCAUCAACUCAUGAGAAGACUGAUUCCAUUUGGGAGCAGUGGAGGCAGGAUUUAUGGUGCUCAAGUUGUCUCAGCAUCGUCGGGUGGAGGAUGGAUAUUUGGUUUUCAGGCCCUCUUUGAAGCUGCGAAACAGAAGUCGGUUGCGUUUGUUCUCUUCAUCUUUCUUGGCGUGGAACUCCCCCUGGAUCUUGAAGCCCCGGUGCACCACAAAGGCUGAGCUCAGCACCGAGAACCUGUAUCCGGCUACGUGGAGUUCGCAGGUCUGGAGGGAGAUGGAUGGACAGGAGGAGAAAGCAGACAUGGAAGUAGAUGAGACGGUAGACAAUGAAUGAUGGACAAAACUGAAGCAGCAGAGGCAGAGAUAUUCUGACUUUUAGUCCUUAGUAUGGGUCAAGCUCCAGAAAUACUGGAUCCAUAUAAUGCAAAAGUGAAAAAACUAUUGGUUGUUAAAAAAAACACAAAAGCAAUUUAAACAUGUCACCUUCUUGUUUUAACAAUUUUCCUUUACUGUUAUUCACCUUUGACAGGCCAAAAGGUUCGCUGAUUAAUCAAGAAAACAUACAGUGCACAAAUCAGUGCUGGAAAUAAAUUUGAGUUGUGACCUGAGACAAUGCAAAA